rnacentral:rRNA from 1 species
GAUGAACGCUGGCGGCGUGCCUAAUACAUGCAAGUCGAGCGAACAGAUGAGGAGCUUGCUCCCCUGACGUUAGCGGCGGACGGGUGAGUAACACGUGGAUAACCUACCUAUAAGACUGGGAUAACUUCGGGAAACCGGAGCUAAUACCGGAUCAUAUAUUGUACCGCAUGGUUCAAUAGUGAAAGACGGUUUUGCUGUCACUUAUAGAUGGAUCCGCGUCGCAUUAGCUAGUUGGUAAGGUAACGGCUUACCAAGGCAACGAUGCGUAGCCGACCUGAGAGGGUGAUCGGCCACACUGGAACUGAGACACGGUCCAGACUCCUACGGGAGGCAGCAGUAGGGAAUCUUCCGCAAUGGGCGAAAGCCUGACGGAGCAACGCCGCGUGAGUGAUGAAGGUCUUCGGAUCGUAAAACUCUGUUAUUAGGGAAGAACAAAUGUGUAAGUAACUAUGCACGUCUUGACGGUACCUAAUCAGAAAGCCACGGCUAACUACGUG